rnacentral:rRNA from 1 species
UACGGAAUGUGCAAACGUUAUUCGGAAUCACUGGGCUUAAAGAGUCUGUAGGCGGUUUGUUAGGUGAGGUGUGAAAUCCCUCGGCCCAACCGAGGAAUUGCGCUUCAAACCGGCGAGCUAGAGGAGGAUAGAGGUGGGCGGAACUGAUGGUGGAGCGGUGAAAUGCGUUGAUAUCAUCAGGAACACCGGAGGCGAAAGCGGUCCACUGGGUCCUUUCUGAUGCUGGAUGGACGAAAGGCUAGGGGAGCGAACGGG